AAUAAACACAAGUAAUUUGUGUAACACAAUUUCUGUCAUUUAUCUUUGCCAUGUCUCAUCGAGUCAAGCAAAUCGUGUUUUCCUCGUUCUAUGUUCAGUAAGCCAUAACACAAAAGGAUGGUUAUGUCACUGGGUACUCAACGUCACCCCAUUCAAUUGUAUUGCGGGUGCAUUCAUUCUUGUGAAACCAAACUAGCAAGUUGUGCUGAAAUUCAGGACAUUCAUACAGCACGAAGAGGGUGGACGUGCGCUACACUAACUCUUAAAGUCUCUGCCGACCAUACUAUUCAUUACUGCAAGCAACAGCAAACAUCUGUGUACAUCACUUCCUGUACUAAUUCUACAUGUGAAGUGCGGCUGAAGAAACUGCAUUUCAACUUCGAAACGCAACCCUGGUGCAACUCGAAUUGUGAAAGUGAUGUUUAACAAUGCCGUUGCCUGGAAUAAAUUAGUAAAGGAACCAUUGCGCUAUCACCGAACAACAGGAUUGGAUUGGUAAACACAAUUUCCUGCAUUUAGUUGGACAACGACACAUGACACAAAACACGCCUCCCAGGCUGUAAGGGCUAUUUUAUCAAGGAGAGUGAUGGACUGCUUCAUCAGAUGACCUGGCCUCCACAAUUUCC
ensembl:lncRNA